GACGAACGCUGGCGGCGCGCUUAACACAUGCAAGUCGAACGGAAAGGCCUGCUUUCCCUUGUGGAUUGCGGGUACUCGAGUGGCGAACGGGUGAGUAACACGUGAGUGAUCUGCCCCCAACUUGGGUAUAAGCCUGGGAAACUGGGUCUAAUUCCCGAUAGGACUGCAGGGUGGUGCCUGUGGUGGAAAACGAUUUUCUAGUGGUUGGGGAUGAGCUCGCGGCCUAUCAGCUUGUUGGUGGGGUAAUGGCCUACCAAGGCGGCGACGGGUAGCCGGCCUGAGAGGGUGGACGGCCACAUUGGCACUGAGAUACGGCCCAGACUCCUACGGGAGGCAGCAGUGGGGAAUAUUGCACAAUGGGCGGAAGCCUGAUGCAGCGACGCCGCGUGGGGGAUGACGGCCUUCGGGUUGUAAACUCCUUUCGACCGCGAGGAAGCCACCUGGUUGGAAGGGUGGUGACGGUAGUGGUAGAAGAAGCACCGGCUAACUACGUG
rnacentral:rRNA from 1 species